UAGGGAAUCUUCGGCAAUGGACGAAAGUCUGACCGAGCAACGCCGCGUGAGUGAAGAAGGUUUUCGGAUCGUAAAACUCUGUUGUUAGAGAAGAACGUUGCAUAGAGUGGAAAAUUAUGCAAGUGACGGUAUCUAACCAGAAAGGGACGGCUAACUACGUGCCAGCAGCCGCGGUAAUACGUAGGUCCCGAGCGUUGUCCGGAUUUAUUGGGCGUAAAGCGAGCGCAGGUGGUUUAAUAAGUCUGAUGUAAAAGGCAGUGGCUCAACCAUUGUGUGCAUUGGAAACUGUUAGACUUGAGUGCAGUAGAGGAGAGUGGAAUUCCAUGUGUAGCGGUGAAAUGCGUAGAUAUAUGGAGGAACACCGGUGGCGAAAGCGGCUCUCUGGACUGUCACUGACACUGAGGCUCGAAAGCGUGGGUAGCAAACAGGAUUAGAUACCCUGGUAGUCCACGCCGUAAACG
rnacentral:rRNA from 1 species